GGGCCCGCACAAGCGGUGGAGCAUGUGGUUUAAUUCGACGAUACGCGAAAAACCUUACCAGCUCUUGACAUGGGGAUUUUGGACCUUGGAGACAAGGUUCUUCGGUUCGGCCGGGUCCUACACAGGUGCUGCAUGGCUGUCGUCAGCUCGUGUCGUGAGAUGUUGGGUUAAGUCCCGCAACGAGCGCAACCCUUGUCCCUAGUUGCUAACAGGUUAUGCUGAGAACUUUAGGGAGACUGCCGGUGACAAACUGGAGGAAGGAAAGGAUGAUGUCAAGUCAUCAUGGCCCUUAUGGGCUGGGCUACACACGUGCUACAAUGGUGGUUACAAAAAGACGCAAUAGGGCGACCUGGAGCAAAUCUAUAAAGCCAUCUCAGUUCGGAUUGUUCUCUGCAACUCGAGAGCAUGAAGUUGGAAUCGCUAGUAAUCG
rnacentral:rRNA from 1 species